UUCCCCCUUUCUGAAACACCAACACACACACGCACAGAGAUGGAGAAGAGAGAAAGAGAGCGCGCCAGUGGAGGAGAAGAGGGGAGGGAGCCGCGCCAUCACCCUCCAGCCCGUCGUGCCACUGCCACGGUGCCAUCGUGGUCGCCGACGAAGAGAGAUUGCUCUUUAGUGGGAGGUUCACGGGCUUUGGGUCACAGUCGCGGAGAAGAGGCGUCGGAGAGAGGAAGCUCGCAGUGAAGAGAGAGAGGCGCACGAAGAAGAGAAGCCUGCAACUAGCCUUAUCACCGUCAACGCCGCGGGUUGUUGUCGUCAAUCUGCGAGCUACCACCGUGUCGUCGUUACUGUGCUGCAGCACCGCCGUUCAACCUCAUCCCGCCGUGUCUCUAUGGUCGUUUCUGUCACGUAAGGGAGCGAGAGAGGAGAGGUGGUGAACGAAGCCAUCGUAGGAACCGCCGUUAGAAAGGGUUCAGGUCACCAUUGAUGGGGAUAGCCAGAACAGUUCCGAGGUUUUUACCGUUGAUUUUGAUUUUGUUCUGUUUCGGUUGAAGCUGUUGCUGCCUCUAGUCGCCGAAAAACCACCACUAUUUCUGCCCCGCCCCUGUUUCGUUAGGGUUUGCUGCUUUUCAUGAAUAAACUGUUACUGUUAGGUGUUGAUGUUGUUGCUGUUACUACUACUGAUUCUAAUGCCAUUGCUGCUGUUGCUGUUAAUAAGGAAUAAGUGGGUUUGUCGCCUUUGCCUUCUUGGUAAGCGUUUUUACUUCCAAAACUUUUGAAAUCAAUAUUCCAAUAUAAGUUAUUAGAGGCUCUGAGCUGUUAGUAUUGUAGGAUUGAGUUUCGAUGAUUUUAUAUCAAAGUUAAGGUUGCUGUUGGACCAUCGGAGUUUCUGGCCGCUGUCGGAGCUGCCGCCGAAUCAGCUCGGGAUUGCGGUUGUUCCAUUUUGUUCUUACUGAUUGAGUUGUCGGAAUUGCCUGUUGCAAUUAAAACUAUUUCUGCUAUUGCGGAAGUGAGCAGACCUGCGAUUGAAGCUGCAGUUUAUUUCGGGCGGAGAGGAAUGAUUCUUGUGACGCCUUUAGUUUAUGGGUUCAACUUUCGAGGAAUGUUACCCCAUUGAGCAAUAUUGAUUAUUUGAGAAAAAGCUAUGCAUAGACUCUUGGGGAUGCACGUCGGGGGACAGUCUAAGGACAAUUCAGACUUGUCGGGUUGGCUGGAUAACUGACAGAUGAGCCUCAUCAGUCAUAGAACAGACAUGCAUCAUAUGUAUUUGUAUGCUUUGCUUGGGUUUGAACUUGUUUUGGUUUGCCUAAUUGCUAAAGUGUUCUUAACUGCUACUUGAACUAUUUGCUGUAACUGCUACCUACUUGUGCUUUUCUUGUCUAUCUUGCAUGUGUUUGUCCUGGCGUGCUACAUUUGAGAAUGAACUUUGGUGCUGAAUUAAUGAUGGUGUUAUUUGAUUGCGUGGUUGGUUUUUGAUUGAGAUUUUCAUAAUGUGAGCCCCAUCAAGUAUCACCUACCCUUUUCAAUGUUGUUUCUUGAUUUAAGCCACGUCCACUAGAAAGAUCUCAAUUUUAUAAUGCAACAAUUGUCUUUCGUAUUUAACUUUCAUGAAGCAUGUCUUUACGUUUACAAGAAGCUCCAACAAUAUUGCACAAACUAACAAGAAAAUUAAAAAGUAGUACAAUUUUGACCUGUUUCUUUGCAACAACCACAAGUGCUAAUUGAAGUUGGUGAGCAAAAUAAUAAACAUAAAAAGCACAAGCAUUUUCUUUCAAGAUCAAACUUUUUAAGCCAUUAAAUUCUCUCUACAUAUUACUAACUCCAUCGUAAUCUUGUCCAUGUAUCCUUGCUAGGCUUAAAUUAUGCUUUGCUAAUAAAUAUUCCAAAACUACUUUUAACGACAACAUAUUUGUGCUAGAAACAUGGACAAGAUCAAGAAAUCGCUCCAUUACAAUCCCUUCUUUGUUCACAUACCGCAAACAAACAGCCAUUUGCUCUUUAACAGAAAUGUCUCGAGUAUCAUCAACUAAAACAACAAAUAAAUCAUCUCCAAGAUCAUCAAUAAUAACUUUAGUAGUUUCACUUACAGUAGCUCUAACAAUAUCUUUUUGAACUUUAGGUGCUACUAGUUUAAGGUUUUCACGAGCAUUUUUGAAAAUACGAUACAAUCUCUGUAUUAUGUUGAGCAAGAAAGUCAAGAAGCCCCAAAAAAUUACCUUGAUUAUUUGAAUUGUGUGAUUCAUCAUCACCACGAAAAGUCAAUCCUUGUCGCAAUAAGAACCUAAUGCACUCAAUUGUUGCUGUUAAGUGAGUUCGAUAAUCUCUUUUAUCUUAGUCUGAAUGCUUUUGAAAAACUUCAAUAUGUUGCUUUUGCUUCAUGAGUGCUUCGUAUUUUCUUCGAAUUUGAUUAUGAGCAUUAUCAUAAUUUUCAACAUGUGUUUGUAAUCGCUCAUUCUUUUUCCAAUUUGAAAAGCCAUCUUUUACAAAAGCAUCAUCACUUACACCAUCAGGUUUCAUAAGAUAGCAACAGAGACAAAAAGACAACAUAUUUUGAAAUACUAUAUUCCAACCAAUUGCUAAAUUCAUCAAACCAAUCAGCAUUAAAUCUACGGAGAGAAGUUUCAAAAUAUGUUUG